rfam:Schistosoma haematobium scaffold147_33, whole genome shotgun sequence.
GCACUGCUGAGGAGUCCCAAUAUAGGGCGAAACGGCCGUCCAGUGC